GCCCAGUGGCCUCAGGGAAAACCUCAGGUCAGCUAUUUCUGAAGCUUGAUUGUGUCCGAGGAUUUAACUGUUUCUGUAAGUGGUAACUUUUCAGGAAACUCACAGGUAAAGCCGAGGAUUAUCCCUUUCAGUUUGUAAUUCUCAGGCGAUGGAGGCUGUGGAAGUUACAGGCACUGUAUUUCUGUCACUGGACUUUUUAUGAUGUUCAAGAGAAACAGAGAGUUGUCAUUUCUCAUUUGUGAUACUGGUUAUGCAUUUUAUAGCUGAAGUCCCAAAUUUGUAUGAUAUUCACAAGAGUGGACUAAUUUAACCAUCAACCAUAAUGGUGACAUUGAUAAUAAAUUUUACAAGGUUUGCCAACUGUAUUCAAUGUAUUUGAGUCAUUACAUUUUUGUUAACUAGUUCGAAUACUCCAAAUCUUCAUAUCUCAGUAUUUCAUAGACUUUAAAGUUAGUCAGCUUAGCUUUACUUCAGUUAGAAUUUAGAGUUAUAGAUACAUAUGUGCAUGCAAACAAGUUUUUCCUAAAUAGCUUAAUUUCACCAGGGCCCCUAGUGACAGAGCAUAUUUGUUUAGAAUGUCACCAUUUGCCCUGGCCUCCAAACUAGGGGAAUUAUUUGUAUACUAAUGUGAAUUGUAUCCGUGUAACUCUUACAGCUGUUACAGGAUGUUUUUCAACAAUACAAGGUUCACAUUAGUAGUCUAAUGGCAUAACUCUCAUGGAUCAUAAUUGUGUAUUUUAGUCAUAUUUUUGAGAGUGAGAACUCU
rnacentral:lncRNA from 1 species